GCAGCUCAGGAGCCCAGGAGAGCUGUGUCCUCCCCGGCCCGGCCCGCAAGGGCCACCAGGACCCUGCGGCCAGAGCUUCCCAGGAAAGGCAGCUGGGUAGCCCAGGAGUCAGAGCAAGAUGGGAGACGCACUCGCUAGGCCAUUUGGAAGUGACUGGCUGGAAAUGUGACGUGGGAAAUGGGUCUCCCCCUCCAGCCUCGCUGACGACCUUCCCCUUGAACCACCACCUGCCAAGAGAGAAGCAGCAGUCCAGCCCCUUGGGAUUCGGAUUCGCAGGAGGCCAGGGACAGCCAGGAAGAUGUGGCUAGUGGCGCAACCUUCCGGGAACAGCUGCUGGGGCAGAACUCCCACCAGGACCAGCUGGCUGCCACCCCACACAUAUACUUGGCUCCCCAGGACUGUCCAGGGGGUCUCAAGUGGGACAGACACCCAGCUGGCCUGGCUCACAGCCCGGGGGGAGCUGCCAGCCUGGCAGCUGUGCCUACCCCAUCAGGGCUUCCCUUGAGGCCAAUUUGGGCCAGGAGCUGGAGGGGAGGAGACCCAGUGGCCGAAGCCACCCAAACGCAGAAUCAGCUGGGACACAAUCCUGAGCUCAGGCCUCUACGUCCAAUCCCAUUUCCCCAGUGUCCUUGAGUGCCUGCCCUGAGCAGGAGGGUUCGACUGGCAGACAGAGAUGGUGGGGUCCACAGUGCCCCAAAGCAGGGACCCCCCCAGGCACAAGGGUUAGCGCACACCUGGCCCUGCGGCCCCAGCCCCCG